GGACGAACGCUGGCGGCGUGCUUAACACAUGCAAGUCGAACGAUGACGGUGGUGCUUGCACCGCCUGAUUAGUGGCGAACGGGUGAGUAACACGUGAGUAACCUGCCCCCCACUUCGGGAUAACCUCGGGAAAUCGUGGCUAAUACCGGAUAUGAGCACUCAUCGCAUGGUGGGUGUUGGAAAGAUUUAUCGGUGGGGGAUGGACUCGCGGCCUAUCAGUUUGUUGGUGAGGUGAUGGCUCACCAAGACGAUGACGGGUAGCCGGCCUGAGAGGGCGACCGGCCACACUGGGACUGAGACACGGCCCAGACUCCUACGGGAGGCAGCAGUGGGGAAUAUUGCACAAUGGGCGAAAGCCUGAUGCAGCGACGCCGCGUGGGGGAUGACGGCCUUCGGGUUGUAAACCCCUUUCAGUAGGGAAGAAGCGAAAGUGACGGUACCUGCAGAAGAAGCGCCGGCUAACUACGUGCCAGCAGCCGCGGUAAUACGUAGGGCGCAAGCGUUGUCCGGAAUUAUUGGGCGUAAAGAGCUUGUAGGUGGCUUGUCGCGUCUGCCGUGAAAACCCGAGGCUCAACCUCGGGCGUGCGGUGGGUACGGGCAGGCUAGAGUGUGGUAGGGGAGACUGGAACUCCUGGUGUAGCGGUGAAAUGCGCAGAUAUCAGGAAGAACACCGAUGGCGAAGGCAGGUCUCUGGGCCAUUACUGACACUGAGAAGCGAAAGCAUGGGUAGCGAACAGGAUUAGAUACCCUGGUAGUCCAUGCCGU
rnacentral:rRNA from 1 species